GAGAAAGGGGGCUGCUACUGCAACCAAGCAAUUGGUGCAGACGCUCUACGAUGCAAUCAGACAAUGAGAGAGCGGACUCUCUUUCUCUAAGGGACACUUCCUCAUUUUUUCCACCCUCCGUGGAGGGGGAGUACCAUGUAGUUAGGAAGAUGAUCGAUGCCUAAAGCAUGUCUACUUAAGAUCUCUAUCCUUUCUGGUGAUCAAGAUAUCCCAAGAAGAGAGACCUGACGGCGCGCCUUUACUAGAAGAGAAGGAAAGAAGACACUUACUAG
rnacentral:lncRNA from 1 species